AAACUUAGUGAGGGAGACUUUAUGACCAUAAAGGUGGUUUUCUCAAAAUGAGGCAUAUCCAUUGUGCUCUAUGUGUGAGCACUCUGGGAACUUCCCCAAAUGUGGGAAACUCAACUGCAAAAUAUGUGGAGGUGGAGGAGUAAAAUUUCUUUCCUUUC